ensembl:lncRNA
CUUUGAACAAACAACCUGCCGCUUGCAUCCAUAACGUUAAUGUCUCGUUCACGUCUCGGCCUCAAACCAGUGAUCACAAGUCCGUGACACCGCGAUCAAGAACACGUGCACCGUGCGCGCGUAUAAGGCCCGCACGGAGCCAGACUACAUCCGGGCAUUCCGAAGACUUGCUCUCUGGGCUACAUACGGGGAACCUGGUUUCUCUCCUCCCGCCCAGGGGAAAGUCCCCGGACAGACGGCAGAAAGUGCCCUGGGUGAAUCCAGUGUCGGCCCGCGCCUCGUCCAAUGGCGGCUGAGAUGUUCGUGUGAACGGAGCCCGACGGUCGUAGGCCGGCUUUGUCAGCUUCUCUAGUAAUAAGUGCGUGGAGUAAAAAACUGCAUCUUCAACUGUUUCCAGUUCUUUGAACUUGUUUCUUUCAAGGCUAAAGUGCCCUUUCCACACUGCUUCCCCCCCACAUUUCUUUGCGUUA